rnacentral:ncRNA from 1 species
AAAGUCCCGGACCGGUAAGGGCUAGCGACCCACCGGAAUCGAGUGUUGCGUGGACCGGGAGCGAUCCCGGCUGCGAAGCGUACACAGAGGGCGUGUAGGCCGUGUGAUUGAGCCUCGAAAGAUUCAGAUGCGGAGCCGACGCUGUACGGAUGGCGGAAGGCAACAUCAGCUGCAUCGUAUCGCUUGAUGCAGGUGAUCCGCCGGGGUCGGUGAGCA